rnacentral:rRNA from 1 species
AUCGAACGCUGGCGGCAGGCCUAACACAUGCAAGUCGAACGAGUGGCGGACGGGUGAGUAAGGUCUGGGAAACUGGCCGAUGGAGGGGGAUAACUACUGGAAACCGUAGCUAAUACCGCAAACCAUCGGAUGUGGCCAGAUGGGAUUAGCGAGUAGGUGGGGUAACGGCUCACCAAGGCGUCGAUCCCUAGCUGGUCUGAGAGGAUGACCAGCCACACUGGAACUGAGACACGGUCCAGACUCCUACGGGAGGCAGCAGUGGGGAAUAUUGCACAAUGGGCGCAAGCCUGAUGCAGCAAUGCCGCGUGUAUGAAGAAGGCCUUCGGGUUGUAAAGUACUUUCAGCGGGGAGGCGUUACUCGCAGAAGAAGCAUCGGCUAACUCCGUGCCAGCCGCCGCGGUAAUAC